rnacentral:lncRNA from 1 species
ACCUUGCCUUCCAUCCAGCAUCCAGAUCCUAGCCUUCCUAGAAAAACUCCCAUUGCUUCUAGGCUUUCUCCUUUGUUGGACUGAGAGAAAAGAAUAGUGCAAGUGGGUCAUGUAUUGAGGGAACCAUGUCAUUGGAUGUGUAUUGCAGGAACAAGAUGUCUGAACACUAAGAUGUCUGAAAGUUACAUAGGAAAAUAUGUAGUUGAGACAUGUAAAAGAAGAAAGGUAUGACAGUAACUUUCUACUUUGGUAUUAUGUGAUAAGGUUGGAGUCUCACCAUUAGAAUUGUCCAGCUGCAUUGAAACAACCUGGAGGCAAAUGUUAUGUUUCUACUCAGAGCACCUAUCUAUUGUUUCACUGAUACUCACAACACAGCUUUGACAAAGACAAUAUGGUCAUCCUCAGUAGAUAUCAGAAGAAACUGAGAAGCAAAGAAGUUCUUCUAUCAGAUCAUCCAACUGAUGAUAUAGACUGUGGUCUGGAACUCUGCCAGACUGUCAGCUGACUCCUGAGGAUCUGCUGGGACAAUUCAAUAGAAGGCCCUUGACUUCUGAAAGGAGAGCAAUUUCCGAAAUGAUAUGGCAAGGUAGGUUUUGGGAGAGUUUAGGCAAUUACCAUUGACAACAGUGCCAUUGUAUGAUUUGCAUUUGGGUUAAUGCUUACAGUUUUAGCAAGUGUUUCACCAGUGCCACACUAAUUAGGAAACAUUAAAUGAUUUGUCAUUUUGAAUACAUAAUUCUGUAAAGAAACUGGAGAUUUUAACAGAAGAAUUUCUGAGGGUAGAAAGGGCAGAAAGCAGGGACAGAGAAGGAAAAGUAAUAAUUGUUCAUCUCCCCCAAAAGAGUGUGGUAGAGGUGCACAAACACUUAUCUUCCAUUCUGAAAUGAAUGCUGUAUACAACAGAAGCUACUUUUUUUAAAUUAAUUUGGUGCCAAAACUCAUUUGGCACAAAAACCUGACCUGAACUAAAAUGAACUUAUUCUUGGAAUAUUUAGACAUUUUUCUUGCAGAAAUGUUAAAGGAUAAAUUAUGAGACGUUCUCCCAGAUACUAUUGGGAGUGUUAUAUAAUAAACUACAUACUCUGUGUUACA